AUGCCAUGUUGGCUCAGUGUGGGCCCUUGCAUCUUCCGAGAAGGAGGAAGAGAAGAUCCAAAGCUCCCUUGUGCAGCCAUAUGGACGAGAAGGAUGUGUAGAAGGGUCCCUGACAGAAAGGAAGAGGCUCCCCCUGCGUCACAGAAAUGUCUCAGGGCAGACUAUACAAGAGGGGCUUUAGGAACCAUAGGGGUCCCUCAACGGGAAAGACAAAAGACAGUGACCAGAAAUGAUUGGGGAGAGAGAAGGAAUGUGAUCUGGACUCAAUCCUGCAUGACCAUCACGUCAGGAGCACGUUUGCUAACCGCUGUGAUACACAUAAGCUUUUAUGGUUAAGAUCUAGUUUCAUCAACCCCCACCUUUGGUUGUCUUUGUUCGUGUCUUCCUGCUUGCUUCUGAAUUUCAGAGGUCUCAUCUGAUGGAAAAUCAGGCUGUAGGUUUAUUGACUGACACGAGACAGCUAGAUCAGCAGCAGAUAACUGAGGGUCAGAUUGAGAAGUCAAACCCAAACAGUCAAACCCAAUCCUCUUUAAGGCCUGGAGGAGGAGGAUAAUGUCUUAUUAGGGAUUUACUUUAAGAUACACAAGUAAUUACACUACUGACGGAAACAACAAACACAGAUAAUACAAGCACACAGAAUGAAAAACAACAGCUGAUAUGUUUUCUCUCAGGUGGGCCACCAUAGUGGUACUCUAACUGACAAAGAUGUUCAAUGACAAAGUGUGAAAGUAACACUGCAAGACAUUAAAUCACUAGAAAAAAAAUAUAAAAAUAAAAAUAAGGUAAAUCCAAAGUAUUUUGAAAGUUUAAGUCAAAUAAAUAAAUUUUAAUUUAAUUAAAAUUGAAUAUAGUAAAUUAAGCAAAUAAAUUAUGCACACAUGCAUACAUUUGUAAACUUAAUGGACAAAAAACUAAUUGAAUUAAAUUGAAAUUAAUUAAAUUUGAAGGGUUAAAAAGUAAAAAAAAAGAAAAAGUAAAAGAAAAAUGUAAAAAAAAAAAAUAACACUAAUGCCAUGGUCCACCAUUAGGUCUAAGAGUGUGUUCACACUUGUCAUGUUUGGUUCGAUUUAAACUAACUCUGGUGCGAUUGCUCUGUUAGUGUGGCUCAGUUGAGUAAGUGUGAACGCUGUCAUCCGAACCCUGGUUAAAACCAAAUAAGCGGACCAAGACUUGAAUAACGUAUAUAUUGUGACGGAAUUUACAUAAAACCCCAAACAAAAGGUGCGUUAGACUUAAAGCUUUUAGUCGAACACACCUAAUGCCAUCUGCUGAACUAAGCGUGCUCAUUCCUGGGUGUCCAUAUUUUAUUUUCACCACCUGCAAACUCACAAGGAGCUCAUAAAACACGUUUGCCCUCUGAUCAUUUUGUUUUGGUUACACCGUGUCGUCAAAUCAUGUCGCAUAUCAUUGCAUUUUGUCAUUACUUCCUUUUUUUGGUUCAUUUAGAAGUUAUUGGUCCGUGUUGCGUUCAUAUUUCAUUCAAACUGCACCAGAGUUCAUUUGGAAGUGAACUGAGACCCAUCUUUUUAGCGGUCUCUGUCCGCUUGUUUGGUGUGCACCAGAGUUCGGAUGGCAGCGUUCACACUUCACACACGAUUCGCACUAACAGAGCAAUUGCAAUGGGGUUCAUUUUAACCGGACCAAACAUGACAAGUGUGGACCAUCAUGUAUCAUUUUCCUUUUUGGUCUGGACAAAAUUAACCAAAAGAACUGAACUACAAGUGUGAACACACCCUAAAUAACAAUUAAAUUUUACAACUGAAAUUACAAUUGAAUUAAAAAAGUGAAUAUAUAUAUAUAUUCACACACAUUAUUCAUGUAUUUAUAUAAUUGCACUUUCUCUAUACACAAACACACACACACACACACAUAAAUAAUUAAUUAAUUUCAUUAAACAUUAAAAAUCUAUAUUACUCCAAUGUUCUAAAAAACAAAAAAAUAAAGGUCACAUUCUCAUGGUGAAAAUUCAGAUUUACUCCACUUAGCACAAGAAAAUCCAUUAUCAGCCAAGUCUUUUUUAACCCAUGCUAUUUGAUUACAAAAAAGCUACAGAAGAAUGAAGUUGGCAGAAACCACUCUAUGCUCAGUCUAAUUAGUUUUUUUGGCAGCUAGGUAGAUUUUCAAAAGUGGAAAAGAACAAAAAUGUCACGCAUUCAUCUUUUUAUUAUUAUUAUUUUGGGCAGACAAACUUUGGGAUUCCAAGCUUAUUCUAACAAGUCUGAAAGGCUAUAAACACUGUCCUUCUCUCUUGAUAAACUGUUAUUGUUGAUCCAGUAAUUAAAAGUAAAUCGACUCUUGAGGCCUGCUUCCAGCUCUUAUUCCGGACACUUCCCUGGGAUGCACGAGUAUGUGAUUCUGUCGACUGCUGUGUUUAUGUUGGGGAGCGUAAAGCUGGCAUCGGGGCAAAAUGCUCCAGGACAUCAUCCGCGCCAGCAAAUCUGCCCCGGAUUCCCAGACCCCGUCCAAAUCACCCACCCUCCCCCUUUUAUCAAAAUAGGUCACUUCCAAGUGAAGCCAGUUGGCAAAGAAAAGAAAACAGACUUUCUAAACUAAAAUAAACAACAAAUAUAAGGGGAAAAGGAGGUAUGAAGAAGAUCAGAUUCCAAAUUGUCUCUUUUAUUCGCGACUUUGUUGUCUAAACCCCUUAAAUGCUGAAAUUCCGAGGAUGUGAUCUGCAGCGGAAGGAGCAUUGCUGAUGGGGAGCGAGAGCAGCAUUGUCUUUAGGCAGGGUGUUAGAAAAGAAAGCCCAACAUAGCCUACAUACAGCCAGCCCACAGUGAGUGCAUGUAAUCCACCCAAGACAUAAGCUGGAGGGAGGGAUGUAAUUGAAGCUGGCUUGACAGGAGCAAGGAAUCACAAGAUUGGAGAUUUGGAAAGGAUGGGGCGGGGGGGGUUGGGACCCGUCUGCGGAUGGGUGUGUAUGUGCGUGUUCUGUGGUCACAAGAAACAGCAGAUGGUUCAUUUCCUGUGUUGAUACGGGGGUCAAGAUAGACAAAGCUGAUGAUGACUCUUUGGGCUAGAAUACGGAAGAUCGUGAGGCCAGACGCUAAAACGAAAUACCUCCACAUACUCACGGACAUUUCCACACGUAGGGAGAUAUCUUAUCUUUAAGCUGUAGGGAAAAGAAAUGGAAAUGAUAGAGAUUCUGAAGUAUCUUGGUUGCAUGUCUCUGGGGAAAAACUGGUAAAUUCAGGAAAUGCUGGUACAAAACACAAACCCAAUUUGAUUUGUCUUGUUCUCUAGUGAAAAUGUCAACAUGCUGAAACAAGAUAAAUUUACUUGAAAAGGAAAUUACAUUUUUCUAAGAUGUCUUACAAAUUUUUGUGUGGUUUGUGUGUGACUUGAUUUCCCUUUGAAUAAAAAUUGUUUUUCUGGCAAAUCA
ensembl:lncRNA